AGAGUUUGAUCCUGGCUCAGGACGAACGCUGGCGGCGUGCCUAACACAUGCAAGUGGAGCGACGAACCAGGCUUCGGCCUGGAGCAAAGCCGCGAACGGGUGAGUAACGCGUGGGUAACCUGCCUCGAUGACUGGGACAACCCGAGGAAACUCGGGCUAAUACCGGAUGUUUUCCUAGACCUUCUGGUCUAUGAACAAAG
rnacentral:rRNA from 1 species